UGGAGAAGACUGUCUCAAUCUAAAAUCCUCUCUAUUUCAGAAUGAUUAGAUCUGAAUUUCUCUCGCCUUGACACCCAGCCAUUAGCCAUAUAACCCAAUAAUUUUAGAUUUUAUAGCACAGAUAAAUAAGUAUAGCAGAUCCAAAUAUUUGAUUUAGGGUUCUCAGGUUCAACAUUAUUUUUCUCUCAGAUGCGAUUUAGAUUGUAUAGCACAAGAAUACGAGAGUUUUCAUCUUCAACAACAUAUAGCUGAAUCCACGGUCAGUUCCAGCAAUAAUCAUCUACUCAUUCGCAUAGUCACUCAACAACCAAAGCCCAAUUUACCAGCCAUGGCCGAUGCUCAGCUCAAGUCUGACGACCUCAUGGACCAAAUGAAACUCCUGAGCAAAGGUAUAUAUGAAAGUGAAAAACCUGAUGCCACCUUUUCUUUCAAGGAUGAAGAUUUGUUAAGGUCUCCAUUGGCAAGUUGAACCCCCAGAUUGCUUUCAUGAGGGGUGCGAUGAAGAUUAAGGGCAGUCUCAGCGUGCCUUGGAAAUUUACUCAUGACAGUUUUCCCAAGCCUUCAAAAAUGUUGUUAGUGCCAUUGAUGCAGAUACCAUGAUCCUGGAUUUUGACUUUAUUAAUAUUGAAGAUGAAGCACACGGUGCAAACCAUUGCAUACGUUGAUAGAGAAUUGAUAUAAAGUUUUCUGAAACUUGAAUUAUUAUUUUUAUUAUAACCAUUGUAUUAGAUUGAUAGAAUUGAAGAAGUUUGAUUCUUUUAAUUUAAAUUACUCCAAGUGUCAAUGAAGGCAUCAUGGAUAUAUUGUAAUUAAUUGUUUAUCAAUUUAUGAAAUGUCUUUGAAGAAAUA